rnacentral:rRNA from 1 species
UACGAAGGGGGCUAGCGUUGUUCGGAAUUACUGGGCGUAAAGCGCGCGCAGGCGGUUCUCCAAGUCAGUGGUGAAAGCCCGGAGCUCAACUCCGGAAUUGCCAUUGAAACUGUUGAACUUGAGGACGAGAGAGGUGAGUGGAAUUCCCAGUGUAGAGGUGAAAUUCGUAGAUAUUAGGAAGAACACCAGUGGCGAAGGCGGCUCACUGGCCCGGUACUGACGCUG